CUGACAUUAAUUAGAUCACUACUACAACCGUAAGAAAUUAGAGGGUUGUAAACUUAUCCUUUCAAGGAGUGUUGUUUAUCAUCGUUGAUCCAUAGUUAACCAUAUCCUGUGUUGGUCGACCUAAACACUCACUUAUAUUAGAGUUUGUUAAAGGAUUAGAUAUUAUUAUUAAUUCUUGAAUUCCUUUUUCCCCUGUGGUGUUGUUUUUGCUUUCUUUUUUCUUCUUCUUGAAUGAGUAUUACACUUUGGUGAAAGUAAGCUUCUCUAGUAGGUUUAUUAUUUGGGUUUAACGAUACAUUUGAAAACAUGCGUCUUGAAGGCUGGCUUGACUGAUCUAUCUUCUAAGGAUAAAAUAUGUGGGUGAAGAAUUGUGUCACUAGGCUUACUGAUUGCAUGCUAAUUUUCAUUAUUAGGAAUUAUUUCUUUGGGAUCUGUUUAAAGUCUAGAUAAUGAUUGAGACAUCAUUUCUAUCAUAUACUACCAUCAAAGCAUCACUUGUGGAUUUUGGGAAAUGAAGAUCUAAAGUAUUGUCUUGCAAUCUUUAGUUGUAUGGCUAAGAUGGAUUAGGUAUUGCCUCAUCACGGUGAAGGUGUCAGUUUUGGUUAAUAGUUCACCUAUUGAUGAGUUCUUGCUACUAAGGGGUUGAGACAGGGGACUUUUGCCCAUAUCUUGUUUUUAUUGGCUACCGAAGAGCUUAACUCUUUGAUGUGCUCAACAAUUAAGAAGGUUAACAUCCUAGAUAGAUGAAUGACAUUGUAAUUUUGAUCAUGAAGACAACUACACAAUAAAGGAUGCUUACAAGUUGUUCUCAGAUUCAUCAACAUUUGAAGUUUCAUUUUCUUAUGAGUUGGUCAGAAAUAAGAUAGUCCCUUUGAAGGUUUAUGUGAUGAAUUUUCAAUAAUUGAUGUUUAUGUGAAGACUUUUCAACAAUCGCUUACCUACAAAAGAUAGUCUACUUGUCAGUUGCAUUAAUUAGGUAGAUUUUAUAUUGUGUUGUAAAAUAUGGCGAGAUAGAACUCACUCGUCAUUUGUAAUUCGUGUGUCCAAUAUUUAGGGGUGUGUGGUUGGAACUUUUGAGGUGAUUGGGUGUUGUUUAUGCUUUUGAUAUGGAAGCAUACACUCAUCAAUUUGCUGGUUUAAGCUCUAUCCGUAAAGAGCUUCGUUCAAAGUUUAAUACUAUUUAGAUGAAAUGUGUAUGAUUUUUAGGAAAAAUGUGCAAUUUUAUGAUUUUCAAUCGGUUGAUUUCAAUGAUUUAAUCCUACUUGAGAAUGUCAAAUUGACGUCUUUGACGUGAAUUAAAGCAAA